rnacentral:rRNA from 1 species
UGGGGAAUUUUGGACAAUGGGGGAAACCCUGAUCCAGCCAUCCCGCGUGUGCGAUGAAGGCCUUCGGGUUGUAAAGCACUUUUGGCAGGAAAGAAACGUCAUGGGUUAAUACCCCGUGAAACUGACGUUACCUGCAGAAUAAGCACCGGCUAACUACGUGCCAGCAGCCGCGGUAAUACGUAGGGUGCAAGCGUUAAUCGGAAUUACUGGGCGUAAAGCGUGCGCAGGCGGUUCGGAAAGAAAGAUGUGAAAUCCCAGAGCUCAACUUUGGAACUGCAUUUAUAACUACCGCGCGAGAGUGUGUCAGAGGGAGGUGGAAUUCCGCGUGUAGCAGUGAAAUGCAUAGAUAUGCGGAGGAACACGGAUGGCGAAGGCAGCCUCCUGGCAUAACUCUGACGCUCAUGCACGAAAGCGUGGGGAGCAAACAGG